rnacentral:misc_RNA from 1 species
GGAAUAUUGCGCAAUGGGCGGAAGCCUGACGCAGCGACGCCGCGUGAGGGAUGACGGCCUUCGGGUUGUAAACCUCUUUCAGUAGGGACGAAGCGUGAGUGACGGUACCUACAGAAGAAGCACCGGCCAACUACGUGCCAGCAGCCGCGGUAAGACGUAGGGUGCAAGCGUUGUCCGGAUUUAUUGGGCGUAAAGAGCUCGUAGGCGGCUUGUUGCGUCGACUGUGAAAACCUAUCCGCUUAACGGUGGGCUUGCAGUCGAUACGGGCAGGCUAGAGUUCGGUAGGGGAGACUGGAAUUCCUGGUGUAGCGGUGAAAUGCGCAGAUAUCAGGAGGAACACCGGUGGCGAAGGCGGGUCUCUGGGCCGAUACUGACGCUGAGGAGCGAAAGCGUGGGGAGCGAACAGGA